GGCUUAAUACAUGAUUUGGUCCCUUAACUUAUUUUUGAAUUUCAUUUUGAUCCCUUAAUUUUAAACCGUCUCAAUUUGGUCCCAUAACUUUGCCUCUGUUAAACUAACAGAAGGGACCACUUAGGUAAACAGAGGCAAAGUUAUGCGACCAAAUUGAGACGGUUUAAAAUUAAGGGAUCAAAAUUAAAUUUAAAAAUAAGUUAAGGGACCAAAUCAUGUAUUAAGCCA
rnacentral:pre_miRNA from 1 species